AGGGAAUAUUGGACAAUGGGCGAAAGCCUGAUCCAGCCAUGCCGCGUGAGUGACGAAGGCCUUCGGGUCGUAAAACUCUUUUCUGAGGGAAGAACAUCCGGGGUAGGAAAUGCCCCCGGCUUGACGGUACCUCAGGAAUAAGCAACGGCUAACUCCGUGCCAGCAGCCGCGGUAAUACGGAGGUUGCGAGCGUUGUUCGGAAUAACUGGGCGUAAAGGGAGCGCAGGCGGUUUGGUCAGUUCAAAGUGAAAGCCCGGGGCUAAACCUCGGAAGUGCUUUGGAUACUGCCUUACUCGAGUUCGUGAGAGGAAAGCGGAAUUCCAGGUGUAGCGGUGAAAUGCGUAGAUAUCUGGAGGAACACCGGUGGCGAAAGCGGCUUUCUGGCGCGAUACUGACGCUGAGGCUCGAAAGCAUGGGGAGCGAACAG
rnacentral:rRNA from 1 species